UACGUAGGGUGCAAGCGUUAAUCGGAAUUACUGGGCGUAAAGCGUGCGCAGGCGGCCAUGCAAGACAGAUGUGAAAUCCCUGGGCUUAACCUAGGAACUGCAUUUGUGACUGCAUGGCUAGAGUACGGUAGAGGGGGAUGGAAUUCCGCGUGUAGCAGUGAAAUGCGUAGAUAUGCGGAGGAACACCGGUGGCGAAGGCGGCCAUCUGGACGACUACUGACGCUGAGACGCGAAAGCGUGGGGAGCAAACAGG
rnacentral:rRNA from 1 species